rnacentral:rRNA from 1 species
GAUCAUAGCUCAGAUUGAACGCUGGCGGCAGGCCUAACACAUGCAAGUCGAACGGUAACAGGAAACAGCUUGCUGUUUCGCUGACGAGUGGCGGACGGGUGAGUAAUGUCUGGGAAACUGCCUGAUGGGAGGGGGAUAACUACUGGAAACGGUAGCUAAUACCGCAUAACGUCGCAAGACCAAAGAGGGGGACCUUCGGGCCUCUUGCCAUCGGAUGUGCCCAGAUGGGAUUAGCUAGUAGGUGGGG